CCUAAGGUAGCAAAGCUCCUGCGUUGGCACGCGGAUAGGGAGGAGAAGAAGCGAGAAGAUGACGCAAAUGAUCCGGAGAUAGAUAAAAAAGACAAGAUGCUGAGUCACCCUAAGGAUGCGAGCCAGUGGCAAGCAUUGAAGUUCGAAUACCCAGAAUUUGGGAACGAUCCAAGGAACAUCAUGCUGGGCGCGAGCACCGAUGGAGUCAAUCCAUUUGGCAGCCAGAGAAGCACACAUAGCACCUGGCAUGUGUUUGUGUGGAUGUACAACCUUCCCCCCUGGUUGUGCAUGAAGAGGAAGUACAUUCACAUGAGUAUGCUAAUUGAAGGGCCGAAACAACCAGGGAACGACAUCAAUCUGUAUCUGGGGCUGCUGAAAGAGGAGCUUGGCACGCUGUGGAAAACGCCAGCCAAUACGUGGGACGCCGCAGAGAAAGAAUAUUUCCCUAUGAGAGCCGCACUGCUCACGACGGUGCACGACUAUCUCGGUUACGGAUAUCUUGCGGGGCAGGAAGUCCACGGAUUUUCUGGAUGCGUAAGGUGCAUGGAUGACACAACGUAUCGCCAGCUAGAUAGAGAUCCCGGGUCUUCGAAAACCGUGUUCAUGGGACAUCGAAGGUGGCUUCGCGACGAUGACCCGUGGAGGAAACGCAAGGAUCUGUUUGAUGGUGAAACCGAACCCCGAAAACGC
rnacentral:rRNA from 1 species